rnacentral:rRNA from 1 species
AGCGAACGUUAGCGGCGGGCUUAACACAUGCAAGUCGAGCGAGAAAAGGGCUUCGGCCCCCAGUAAAGCGGCGGACGGGUGAGUAACACGUAGGUAAUUUUCCUUCCAGCGGGGGACAACGUUUCGAAAGGAACGCUAAUACCGCGUACGUUUCCCGGGACUCCGGUCCUGGGAAGGAAAGCUAGGUAGCAAUAUCCGGCACUGGAUGAGAAGCCUGCGUAGCAUCAGCUAGUUGGUGGGGUAACGGCCUACCAAGGCGAAGACGCUUAGCUGGUCUGAGAGGAUGAUCAGCCACACUGAAACUGAGACACGGUUCAGACUCCUACGGGAGGCAGCAGUGGGGAAUAUUGGACAAUGGGCGCAAGCCUGAUCCAGCCACGCCGCGUGAGUG